ACGGGGUGCAGCAGGCGAGAAAACUUUGCAAUGUGCGAAAGCACGACAAGGUUAAUCCGAGUGGUUUCUGCUAAAGGAACCUUUUGUCGGUCCUAGAAACACCGAUGAAUAAGGGGUGGGCAAGUUCUGGUGUCAGCCGCCGCGGUAAAACCAGCACCUCAAGUGGUUCAGGAUGAUUAUUGGGCCUAAAGCAUCCGUAGCCGGCUCUGUAAGUUUUCGGUUAAAUCUGUACGCUUAACGUACAGGCUGCCGGGAAUACUGCAGAGCUAGGUAGUGGGAGAGGUAGACGGUACUCGGUAGGAAGGGGUAAAAUCCUUUGAUCUAUUGAUGACCACCUGUGGCGAAGGCGGUCUACCAGAACACGUACGACGGUGAGGGAUGAAAGCUGGGGGAGCAAACCGGAUUAGAUACCCGGGUAGUCCCAGCUGUAAACUAUGCAAACUCAGUGAUGCAUUGGCUUGUGGCCAAUGCAGUGCUGCAGGGAAGCCGUUAAGUUUGCCGCCUGGGAAGUACGUACGCAAGUAUGAAACUUAA
rnacentral:rRNA from 1 species